UAAAACGAGCGUUAAAAAUAUAACGAAAAAAAAUGAGAAGCAAAUAUAUCCGCGGGCGGGUUUCUAGGACAUGCGGAGCAGUGAAAUAUGUAUAUGCGGAGCGUAUCGAAGCAACAGAUUGCGGAGAGAAGUCAGCGUUAAGUAGCCGCCGUUUGACUGAAGAACGGUGGAAGAGCAUAAAUUAUCCUAUGCAGCAUCUUCGUAAACGAAUUGACCCGUGAGGUCAAGAAUGGAGUGGUGUGUGACGGGAAUAAUAAUAGCCGUACGGAGCAUUUUGGGUAGCAUUAAUUAUUCCUAGCGUUAAAAGCUUCUAGCGUAUAGAUUAUUAGAAAAGUAAAGAAUGUCGAAUGACUCGGAUGACCCUGGAACGAUCUUUUCAGUCGAGGAACUCAUCGUCUUCGGGAUAUUACGCUCGUAGACGAUUAUUUAUUUAUUUAUAUCUCCUCGCGAAAGCGAAACGAACGUCCGAACUUUAUCGGCGAAAAAUUACAGGAUCUCGUUACGUGAAUUUCACGUACAUAUAAAAAGUAUAACAGCGUCGAGCGCGAUAAUGCAACGACUGAGGAACAAUGGGAACAAAAUGAAAAUGCCUUUACCGCGAGUUGCGCGCUCGGGAUCAUUCGGUAACGCGAUACGGUACAUAAGAAUCUUCAAUCUUUCUCAUGAAUUCACCGCUACCGUACAGCCAGAUGGAUUCUUAUAAAUGACGAAGAGUCGGAACCCGGCACCGGUCAAGUUGCUGGCCAACUGACACAUACGAACAGUUGCCACUGGCCAAAGAACCAAGUUCUGAGCCGGAUGUGCGUCCUUAUUUGUAUCGCUUCCUCUCGGAAGCCACGUACUUUUCGUUUUUUUUUUUCUGUUGCAGGACGACGAUGAUAUACAUCCGGGGUAAUAUGGUAUACAACGAAGCGUUCGUUUCUCAAAUAAAAGGUUUCUCCCGCAUCACAUCCAGAGAUCGAAGUAGAACUUGGCCCUGAUUAUUAUUGUACGGGUGAUCGCGACUCGACGAUUCACAUCUUUCAUCCGAAUCUCCGUGAAAGUCCGUCUAAUCUUUUGCUUCGCGAUACAAAAAAUUCUAUCGACGUUCCGACGUACUCUGUAGACCGACGACGAGGGAUCGCGACUACCGUGGAUUCGUAGGAAACUGAUUGCGAGCGUUGAAAUCUCUCCGGUUGAACCGUAUUGCUCGACCUUGGCCGAGCGUGAGGUGUUCUUCGACAAAGCGAGUCAGCUGUUUGCCGUAUCGCACACUUAUAUACACCUGGAAUAUUACACCGAAUCGGACGAGUGUCCGUGCAUACGUCGUCGUGCCGUAUCUACUAGGUACGAAUGAUUACCCAUACUCGUUACAGGAGGCGUCUCUACGACGUUUGACGUUCGAUCGAUCGUCGAGGGGGCAGAGAAAAUAGCGGAGGUGCGACACAAUGGAAGACCACGUGAUCGGCAAGUGUUUAUUACCCGAGAGUCGUGGCGAAGCGAAACGUCGCGGUCGUGUCGCGUCGCGGUGUCAAGCGUCCGCGGAACCGCGCCCCGAGUUUGGAGCGAAGGUCGAAGAGUGACGACGACGACGACGAAAGCGACGAGUAGACCGACGAGGAGCGAAAGACGACGAAACUCCUUGAACGUCGUCGUCGGGUGACUCGAAAAGGAGCCAACUUGUGAGUAGCGAUGUUCGUGCCAGGCAAUGCGCGGCGCAUUCCUGCAACCAAUUAGCUCCCAUUGUUUCUACCGACGACGUUAUCCUAUGCCUAUAUCCUGCCUCUGUAACUUGGCGAACAAUUAAAAGAAAAUGAUCGAGGAGAAAAUGAAGAGCUACACCGAACAGCUACUCUUAUCUUCUUUCCGGUACCGAAUUAGGAGACGGUAGAAAAUAACAAAACUCGCGAGACGGAAUAUAUCUCUUGCUCGCCAGAUUUCUUCGAGCUGAAACCGAAAGGGUAAUUACCGAAACUUUCGAGGACAAAGGCACGCGGUCUUUAGGAGUCGCAAACGCGAUUCAAGAAGUUGGAAAGAGGGUCGCCCUCGGUGCCGAAAGGAUGAGAACGAACGAACGAGUCGGAAAAAAAAAAAAAGAAAAAGAGAGAAAAAAAGGGGAAAACGAGCCGGUAAUUUCCGUUCCCAAGUACCCGCAGGACCAUCUGAGGACGACGUCUUAAUCCUGGAGAUUCGAGUCGGCUCUGUAACGAGUGUCCAGUCUCAGGCAGGAGACUCUUCUCAACACCCCACGGGUGCGGUGACCCCGAGGAAGGUCAUAGUCCAGUAAAUAAAAACCAGGGGAACGGGGUCGUUUCCAACGUCUCAAAAGUUUCGCACGCCGCUGCGGCGCGUUUAUAUAUUCCAAAACGCAGUUUUAGGACGUAACACAUUGUGCCCGAAGGAAGGAUGAGCUUACCUGAAACAAACCGAGAAAAGAAGAGGAAAUCGUUAGUCUUACGUGGUAAUUUCAUUGUGUAAAAAUAGGGAAAAAAAAAAAUAACCACAUAUAAAAAAAAAAAAAAAUACAUCACGAGUACGCGCGCGUUAAUGAGAAUACGAGGAAGAAUCAGGAGCAUUCUUAGAGUUUCUUUAUUACAAACUUCCUACUCAUCUCCUUUAACUAUGCGGAGUAUAGACUAAUUUGCGUUAAGAUUGAUUUCACGGAUGAUAAGGCAAUCGUUGAGCACGCAAUUUCUAUCCGAAGUACGCUCAGAUAUACCGUAUACGUGUAACGUACGAAAUAAAAACUUUUCGUCUAUC